rnacentral:rRNA from 1 species
CCUACGGGAGGCAGCAGUGGGGAAUAUUGCGCAAUGGGCGAAAGCCUGACGCAGCGACGCCGCGUGAGGGAUGAAGGUCUUCGGAUCGUAAACCUCUGUCAGCAGGGAAGAACGGUCACUGUGCUAAUCAGUAGUGAAUUGACGGUACCUGCAAAGGAAGCACCGGCUAACUCCGUGCCAGCAGCCGCGGUAAUACGGAGGGUGCGAGCGUUAAUCGGAAUUACUGGGCGUAAAGCGCUCGUAGGCGGUAUGGCAAGUCAAGGGUGAAAUCCCCGCGCUCAACGUGGGAACUGCCUUGGAAACUGGCGAACGGGAGGUUGAGGGAGGAUGGUGGAAUUCCAGGUGCAGGAGGGAAAUCCGUAGAUAUCUGGGGGAA